GCGGGACUUCCGGCGCUCCGUGCAGCCUUUCCGUUACUCUCCGGCAGUUAUCCCGUUCUACACGCCGAUGUCCCCUAGGUGGGCACCGAGGUAACGGAGCGGAAAAGCAGGAGGAGAGGCGUGGUGCCCGCUGUCUAGAAGCGGAUGCGAGGCCCCCUGAGCCCGCAGUUGACGGCGGUGCCCUCGUUCCCGCCCUGCUCGCCGCCUCUCCCGGCGCCGCUCUUCCCACGGCCGGUGGCCGAGGCCGCGCCGAUGAACCCGGCUCAGGAGGCAAGUCUCUAACUGAAGACAAGGGUUUGAUAGACUACGGACAUUGGUUUGUACAUUCAGAUCAGUUCCAGCUGACCCCUAAGAUAUGUCAGUAAUUGGUUUAAUCUAGAGAGACAUUCUGUAUUGCUUCUUGCUUUAACUAGUGCAGAACAGACUGAGGGCGAGGAAGACAAGAAGGAGCCCAUCCCAGAAGCAAUUGCAUGCAUCCAGGACUUGCAUCUUCUAGGUCCCAUGUUGUCCAGCUAGAGCUGAGAGGGAGUGGACAUGGCUCCAGGCACAGCACGAGAGCCUCAGAGUGGGCCUGGCCCUGGUGAUUCACAUCUGGGGGAGGGUGUGAUGUCACAGCUGGGUUCACAUCAUACCAGGAACAUGUCCUGUGCCCAGCACUGUUUGGGUGUGUUGCACCCCAACCUUGAGUCUUUUGCCUGGCUGCUGACAUGGAGCUGAGGACCAAUAGACACCUUCUGGGCAGAAUAUUUCUGUAGAAGUGCCCCAGAUACAUCCUUCAACGGCAGACUUGUCCACCCAGACGACCUGUCCCUGGGAGAGGUGUAGGCUGGAAGAGCUGCACAGUCCCUGCUUCCACAUUGUCGUCACAUUGCGGGAAGCUGGGGAGGAUUUCCCUGGUAGCUCUGGCUUCCCCCUCCCAGCAGCCCUGGGAUCUAUUUGCUUUCCUUUAACAAAGACUUCGCCUGCUUGCUGCCUGUGUGUUCCUGGAGUUCAUUUCUUUGACUGCCCUGAUCAGGAACCCGGAUUCCCAUAUCAUCUUUCUGGUGGUAUCUUUUGGGGACUAGUCUGGGAUCCAAUCCAAUACAUCUGCACUCAUAAGAACGUCUGAGUCCCUGCCAGAUCUCCAGCAACAGAUUCAUGGGAUGUCUGAUCCAGCUCGCCCUCUGGAACUAGUUGACCUCUUCCUCCUGGUGGAAAUAUUUCAUCACCAUAGCCAUCAUCAUGAUCUUUAAUCCUUUUAUUUGGACCCUAUAUAAUUAAUUGUAUUUCUCACUUCAUUACAUCCCAGUUAAAAACUAUGGACCUGGAGUUCCCGUCGUGGCUCAGGGGUUAACGAAUCCGACUAGGAACCAUGAGGUUGCAGGUUCAACCCCUGGCCUUGCCCAGUGGGUUAAGGAUCUGCCAUUGCUGUGAGCUGUGGUGUAGGCCACAGACAUGGCUCAGAUCCCACGUUGCUGUGGCUCUGGUAUAGGCUGGUGGCUAUAGCUCUGAUUUGACGCCCUAGCCUGGGAACCUCCAUAUGCCGUGGGAGCAGCCCUAGAAAAGGAAAAAAGACACCCCCCCCAAAAAAAAAAAAAAAAAACUUAAUUGAGCUAUAUAGUCAGUUUGCCUUGAACUAACAUACCUAAAAUGUAUGGCUUGGUAAAUUUUAAUCUGCCUAAGCCCAUGGAAUGAUCAUCAUAACAUUCAUCACUCCUCUAUCUUUUGACAUUUCUCCCUAGGCCCCCAGGCUCUGCCACUUUUUCACCUUCAGUUAGUGUUUUCUAGACUUCUUUUUCCUGAAAAUAAUACUCUGUGAACAUGUACAGAAAAUUCUUUAUAUGAACAUAUGACUUUAAAAUGAAAGCUCUUUUUACAUCCCCAUGGA